UACGGCUGUAUCAUGCUGAAACACUGUUUCUCAUAUGAUCACAGAAGUUAAGCAAUGUCGAGCCUGGUCAUUACCUUGAUGGGUGACUGCUGGGGAAUAUUAAGUGCUGUAAG
rnacentral:rRNA from 1 species